GCUGGGUGUGGUGGCUCACUCUUGUAAUCCCAGCACUUUGGGAGGCUGAGGUGGGAGAAUCACCUGAGGCCAGGAGUUCUUGACCAGCCUGGCCAACAUGGUGAAAUCCUGUCUCUA
ensembl:misc_RNA Metazoa_SRP Metazoan signal recognition particle RNA